AGGGAUGAAGCUUAUACGAAGCAAUUAGCUGUUACCUAAUAGACAGUGAUGAAACCUCACCUACCCUA
rnacentral:tRNA from 1 species